CCGAGGAGGCCGCCCAGUCAUCAGCCCGUCAGCUCGCUGAGGCCCGCGCGGAACCAGACGAGAAGCAGUCCGGCGUCGCGCGUUUCCCUGUGGGCCGGCACACUGGUUCUCUUUCCGCAAAGCAAUUUCGGAAGUCUUUGGCUGGCCUGUGUUACUCGGCCAAGCAGCUGGAGGGACGUAUGGGCAGACUUCGACACGGGGCGAUGACUAACGGAGCAGUAUUGUGUGCGUGUGAAAGUUCAGUUGGAGGAAAGGCUUCCUAAGGCGGGCGCCAGCGAAACAGGGAUUCAAGAGACCGAGUGAAACGCGCCCGAGAACAUUUCUCACGGAGAAAUGCUGAGUGUGCGGUCUUUACCCGAAGGGCGCAGCCAGAGGUGAACGAAGCUGAUGAACUGACUGCAAAGCACCGAGAGGAGUUAACCUUGCCCCUUUGUAGGAUUUUAAGGGAUGAGCUGGUUUAGAUAUCUUACUAAUUUUGGAGUAUGUAAUACACGUACUUUACACAACAUUCAAGUCAUAAAAAGCGUGAGAAGCAAUCUCUAAUGGUGGAUUGAGAGGCAAGACAGAAAUAAGGGAAAGGUUGGAAUAUAAAUCCCUGAGGGGGACACAGAUGUAUCUACAGCAGUCACCAUGGUGGAUAAUAUUGGAUAUGAGUCCAUCAGUGAAAGACAACACCCUUGGAAGAAGGAAUUCAGAUCUCCCUUGGAUCUCCAGCCUGCUGGCUUGCCUUGCAGGUUUCAGACUUGCCAGCAGCACCCAGCAAUCAUGUGAGCCAGUUCCUUAAAAUAAAUAUUUUUCUGUAUACACAUUCUGUUGAUCUAUUUGUCUGGAGAACCCUAACUGAUGAAAAUAGACACCAUCGAAGAUGAGGUAGAAUGAGAGAAAACUUUGAAAGACUUCAACAUUGAAGAAGCAGCCAAAAACCCGGUAUGUUGUGAUCCCAGCACUCAGGAAGCUAAGGCAGGAGGAUGGCCACAGUUCAAGGCGAGUCUGAACUACAUGGUGAAACCCUGUCUCCCCCACCCCCCCACAAACAAAAAGCAGCUGCAAACUGGAUAUAGUGGUGCUUUCCUAUAAUCCCAGCACUCUAGGAGGCUGAGUCAGGAGGAUUGCAAAAUUGAGUCCAGGCUGGGCAGUUCAGUGACUUAGGCCUUCUCUCAAAAUUUUUUGUUUUGUUUUUGGUACCAGGGAUCAAGACCUUGUGCUUACAAGGCAGGUGCAGUGACACUGAGCUAAAUCCCUGCUCCCCACCCCCCACAAAAUUUUUUUUUAAAGUGCUGGGAUGUAUCUCAGAGGAAAGGCCCUGAGUUUAAUCCUCAGUGCUGGGAGUGAGAAGAAAUAAAAGGAGAAAACAGAGGAAAAAGGUAUAAGGAGCACAGUAAAUUUUAAAAAUUGUUUUUGUGUUCUUCUAGUUGUACUCUGUACAUAUAUA
rnacentral:lncRNA from 1 species